AAGUCGUAACAAGGUUUCCGUAGGUGAACCUGCGGAAGGAUCAUUAACACGUGAUUUUCUUUUCACGUAUUAUCAACCAAACGCGAACUGUUAUUCAAUUUUAUUUUUUUUUACCUUUCUUUAUUUGGUCUAAUCUUUUUAUUUUUUUUCGCUUUGUAUAUAUAUAUGCUUAUAUUUUUCUUCGGGUUUCAUUACUCGAAUUGAGAAAUAUUCUCUAUAUAUAUGUAUAAGAGCUGAGAAAAAACAAUAUACAUAAUACGAAACAACUCUUAGCAACGGAUAUCUUGGUUCUC
rnacentral:misc_RNA from 1 species